rnacentral:rRNA from 1 species
AUUGAACGCUGGCGGCAGGCCUAACACAUGCAAGUCGAACGAGUGGCGGACGGGUGAGUAAUGUCUGGGAAACUGCCUGAUGGAGGGGGAUAACUACUGGAAACGGUAGCUAAUACCGCAUACCAUCGGAUGUGCCCAGAUGGGAUUAGCUAGUAGGUGGGGUAAAGGCUCACCUAGGCGACGAUCCCUAGCUGGUCUGAGAGGAUGACCAUGCAGACUGGAACUGAGACACGGCCCAGCAGUCUACGGGAGGCAACAGUGGGGAACAGUGCAAAAUGGGCGCAAGCCUGAUGCAGCCAUGCCGCGUGUAUGAAGAAGGCCUUCGGGUUCUAAAGUACUUUCAGCGGAGAGGCGUUACCCGCAUAAGCAGCACCGGCUAACUCCGUGCCAGCCGCCGCGGUAAUUC